UUUUUUUCUUAUCUUUUUAUAUUUAUCUAAAAUUCUAUCUUCUUCUAAAGCAAAAAGUCCACUAAAUCAAAAACACCAAAAUCCCUGUGGAUCUACCCUGCUUCUCUACACUAUUCUCAUUUUUUACUUAUUAAGAAACCAAAAUUAUUUUAAUAGCAAAACGAUAUCUAUCAUUUAUUUAUUCAUGGGUUGAAGAUUUAUUCAAGUCUAAUUUUGUGAUGGGAACAGAGAGGCCCUCUGUUUUCUUUUGGAAUCUCACUUCAUACCAAAUAAAUUUCUUCCUCAACGUAAUCAAUAUCACCCGAUUCUUUACUACUGAGUUAAAAGUAAUCCAAAAGCAAGUGUCAUUUAAUCAUUUCACCAUUAUCACAUUCUGUUUUCAGGAAAACUCGCACCGGAAAAACAUAGGCAACGGCUUUGUGGUUGGCCACCAUUGGUGCACAGAAUAUGAAGUAGUUUAGUAACAGAGUUCAUCGUUAUUGCACAUACGAAAUUGAUGAGACAUGUCGGCUUUAUUAGAGAUUUUAUAAAGGGAGGCAACCCUCCAUGCAUUUGGAACAUCAAAUCUACUCAUAAACAACUUCAUCAAGUUCAUGACAAGGCAUCAAGUCUACUCACCACCAAGUUUUCUUUUGUGAUGCGAUUUCGGGAUUGUCUUUUUCUUUGCAAAGAGUGUUUACACAAUGUCUAGUAGGAAAGGUUGUUUGAGGAGAAUUCAUGCUAAAUGUAUCCAGUACUGUGAGUUCAAUAGUGAUUUUUCUUUUCUGGGCGUUGCUUGUGGAAUACGGUGCAUGUGAUUAGGGGCAUGAGAUUGUAAUUUGUAUUACUGAAAUUUGUUUAUUUAUGAAUA